rnacentral:rRNA from 1 species
UACGUAGGGGGCAAGCGUUGUCCGGAUUUAUUGGGCGUAAAGAGCGUGUAGGCGGUUCGGUAGGUCCGUUGUGAAAACUCGAGGCUCAACCUCGAGACGCCGAUGGAAACCAUCGAACUAGAGUCCGGAAGAGGAGAGUGGAAUUCCUGGUGUAGCGGUGAAAUGCGCAGAUAUCAGGAAGAACACCCGUGGCUAAGGCGGCUCUCUAGUACGGUACUGACGCUGAGACGCGAAGGCGUGGGGAGCGAACAGG